UAUAUAUAGAAGUCGUUAUCUAUUAAGUAUAUAGAGAUUAUUAUUAUUAUUAUUAUUAUUAAUAUUAAUUAGCUAAUUGUUAUAAAGGU
rnacentral:miRNA from 1 species